GAAAUCAGGUGGCUUUCCCUUUCGACAGACCGUAACCCGUGAACUCCUCUGCUAGAUAAGCUGUAAUAUUCCCUGACAGAAUUCCUAUAGCCGAAUCAUCAGUUCUGUGACUAAGUCCCUGCCCUUGUCACACCGCCGUCGCUACUACCGAUGAUGAUUAGUGAGUUUCGACUGGCGCUCGAGCGGCUUCGGGUCGCGCGGCGUGCGAAAAAGAUACCCAAACUUGAUUCAUUUAAGGGAAGUAAAGUGUGAACCACGAGUUUUCCAAGGGAGUCCAAAGCCCCGCCGCGGAAACAGAUGUUUCCGGGGAUUAAUCAAGAACGAAAGUUAGAGGUUCGAAGGCGAUCAGAUACCGCCCUAGUUCUAACCAUAAACGAUGCCAGCCAGCGAUCCGGCUGUGUUCCUCAAAUGACACGCCGGGCAGCUUCCGGGAAACCAAAGCUUUUGGGUUCCGGGGGAAGUAUGGUUGCAAAGCUGAAACUUAAAGGAAUUGACGGAAGGGCACCACCAGGAAUGGAGCUUGCGGUUUAAUUUGACUCAACACGGGACAACCUACCCGGCCCGGACACAGGAAGGAUUGACAGAUUAAGAGCUCUUUCUUGAUUCUGUGGGUGGUGGUGCAUGGCCGUUCUUAGUUGGUGGACUGAUUUGUCUGGUUAAUUCCGUUAACGAACGAGACUCUAGCCUACUAAAUAGACGUUCCGAUUAUUUAUUUUUCGGACGUUCUUCUUAGAGGGACAAUCGGCGCUUAGCCCGAUGAGACAGAGCAAUAACAGGUCUGUUAUGCCCUUUGAUGUCCGGGGCCACACGCGUGCUACAUUGAAGGAAUCAGCGUGUGCUUUCCCUGUCCGACAGGACUGGGUAACCCGUUGAACCUCCUUCGUGCUGGGGAUAGGGGCUUGUAAUUAUUCCCCUUGAACGAGGAAUUCCUAGUAAGCGCGAAUCAUCAGUUCGUGUUGACUAAGUCCCUGCCCUUUGUCCACACCGCCCGUCGCUACUACCGAUUGAAUGAUUUAGUGAGGUCUUCGGACUGGCGCUCGGAGCGGCCUUCGGGUCGCGCCGGCGUGCCGGAAAGAUGACCAAACUUGAUCAUUUAGAGGAAGUAAAAGUCGACUGCCCAAGGUUUCCGUAGU
rnacentral:rRNA from 1 species